rnacentral:rRNA from 1 species
AUGAUUGGGCGUAAAGCGUCUAUAGGUGGCUUUUCAAGUCCGCCGUCAAAUCCCAGGGCUCAACUACUGGUAGGAGAAGAACCCGACUCGGUAUUCUUAAAAAAAGAGGGGAAGCAGAACCAAGUCAAGAUGAUAUGGGUCACCCCUUCUUCUUGCGCCAAAGAUCUUACCAUUUCCGAAGGAACUGGGGCUACAUUUCUUUUCAAUUUCCAUUCAAGAGUUUCUAUCUGUUUCCACCCCUUUUCUUGA